GUCAGCCUGGGUGAUUCAGGUGGCCAGGAAAGGAAGAUGUUUGAGGAAUGGUGUCAUCAAGGUCAGCUGUCACUGAGGAAGGUGGCGUGUACCUGUGGCAUGUCCCUUUGGCACUCUGACAAGCCGAGAGAGCUGUCACGAUCCAAGGGUGGACAGCAGGAGCCUGCCUUCCCCCAGCAGGAGGGAGAGGAUGGAAGUCAGAGUGUAUUGAGUGAAGCACACUGGAGCAGAGAGGAGCAAGCAGGCCAUGGAGUGAGUUCAAAAAGGAAUUUAAGCAGGUGGGAUUCCAUCCCUCCUCAAGGAUUGCGCUUUUUUCCUUUUGCGAACAUGUUGUGAAAUUCAACAGCUUGUCUGUCAAAACUGCAGCUUCUUGGAAACACAGAGGAGAGUGGAAAAGAUGGGCUCUGUGGAGAGCUUCUAUUUGGGAACUUCGAAGGGCAGGUGAAUCUGUCCAACUGCUCUUUUGUACCUGCCACCAGCAAUGCUUUUCAGGUCAAGGGAGCAGCUCACACCUCAUUUCAUCAUUCUGCUGGUUGCCACCUGCCAUUAUUAAUAGCCCACAAAAACGCUGAGAUAUGUAAGCUCCGUAGUUGCUGCUGAAGAGUCUGGGAAUUGCAAUCCUCAGCUUUAUUUUGCUUCAGGAAUGUGCUGGUGGGCAGCUCAGGGAUUGGUGGUCACACGUUGCUGUGCCAUGGUGCCACAGCCAGCCUGGCUGGGAGCAGUGGAGGCGGCUGGACACUGUUGGGUGGGGAGUUACAAAGGCUUCCGUUCUCUCUGGUCAACAAUAAAAUGAUUUUUUUCAUGUUCA